GGAGGGUAUAUAGCUCAGUGGUAGAGUGCGUGCUUAGCAUGCACGAGGUCCUGGGUUCAAUCCCCAGUACCUCCA
rnacentral:tRNA from 1 species